rnacentral:lncRNA from 1 species
UUGGUACAGCGCACUCCAAUUUAUUUGCUUGAUGUUUCCAACUCUGUCCGAAUUAUCCAUCUAACCAACCUUAAGCAUAGCUUGUUCGCUCCAAAUGAUCUCUUCCAUCCUUGAGCCGACCACAGAAAGUAUUAUUGCUCGACCUGCUUGUCAUCCGUGCUUGGCGCAACGUUGAACGCACGAACGCUGCUUACUGCUUUGGUGAGUCCUUCUGAUUUUUCUUAUGAUCAACGAUUAGUUAUUGUGACUUAUUGCUUAUUGAAAUCUUCCUUACUUCCUGGGGUUUACAGUGGAGUACCUCCGCUAUCCACAAAUUUUACGAAACGCCGCCGGUGCACUUCGCUGCAGGCGCGUUCUGUUGUUUCGCAUAACUCUUUAAUGAAGGUGAUAAGUGCAAAUUUAAUAAGGGGCUUGAAAACGUCCAGCGAACAAGUUGCCGAACGGCAAUGUUAGAAACAGCAAAGCGCCGGACCCCCUCAGGUCCUAAUAUUGCUGUCACCAUUCACUAGUAUAUGAGUUUCGGUCACUCUCCAACAGGCAAAUGGAAAGGAAUGCUUCCAUAGGAAGGUUUUUUUAUUCAAACGUAGUGAACUACUUCUGGCGGUUCUCAAAGCAAAUUGCGGGAUGCUUUUAUUGUUGGAAAGUGACCGACACACAUACCAGUAUUAGGUAAUGGUGAAAGCAGAUCUUCAUAACACCCGGG